ACAGUUUGGGACAAUCAGCUCAACUUCACCAAAAUGAAAUUCAUGUCGGUCUUGCUCGCUGUGGCGAUGGCACUGUCUGCCCUGCUGGGGGUAGCACGAGCCAUGCCUGAGCCUGAAGCCCUGGCCGACGCUGACCCUUGGGCCCAUGGAGGAGGCUUCUAUGGAGGAGGCUUCGGACAAGGACGUUACUACGGAGGAGGAGGCUAUCGCGGAGGCUAUUAUGGACGCGGCCACGGCUGGUGAGACUCCGAAACGAAGACUCCGACUGAAGCUUCUGCUCUCGUUUUACCUGAAGGACAACGAACCGAUUACCGAUUUUGCUACAUGGAAAUAAACCAGUUUUAAUUUUAUCGAA